rnacentral:lncRNA from 1 species
UCCCCCACUAGGUGCCACUGCAGUUUAAUAACAACAAUGGCUGCCAUUCCCCACAUUGAUUAGUGUCGUGUCUGGUAGUUGUUGUUUAGUGGUCCGUCUUUCACGUUUCGAUGCAAUAUUAGGUGAACAUUUUGUAAUGUUUUUUUUUAGCAGAUUGAGUAUUACCAACCUUCGUCGUUGGGUAUUGCUGGCAUAUUUAAAGUUAGCCCAGUUAAAGUGUGGUUUAAGGGAGUAUUAACUGAACCUGAAGAAAAGUCGCAAGUCACCAUGUAUCUUGGAGAAAAUAUUGCGAGGAAACGUGAAAGGGUCGUGGCCGUGUGCAGCCAACCGUUAACUAUUCUGUUCAAAAUCAUAGUAUUCUACUGAAUGUGCCAUCGAAAUGAUACAGAUCACCAACGGCCCAGCAUAGACCAAUCUCUCAUUUCAUCUUUCGAAAGAAGAUUGGAUAACUGAUCGGUGGUUUCAUGUGCAAGUUCACUGAUCAUGUCACUGAACUUUUUCUGUUGCAGUCUAAUAUGUAUUCAAAGUUCUAAACUCCAGGUUUCUAAAUUUGCAUGGCAGACUUUAUGAGAAGUCAUGUCCUUUCAAGAAAGUCAACAAGAUUCCUUGUUUGCUAACCCGUUGGCUGCUACCCUUGAAUCUCCCUUUAUACUUUCUUAAGCGGGCCAUCUUUAUUUGAGGGAAAUUCUUCGCUACUUGUCAUAGGCUUCAUCCACUGGUGAAAACAACGAGAGAAUGCUGCAAUCCAAGACUGAUAAAUUGUUUAAUCGUUAGAUUAAAUGACAAGUGCAUAUCUGGGCUCCCUUCUUUUCUGUGGCCCCGUUUCCCUAA